rnacentral:rRNA from 1 species
CGCCCGUCGCUCCUACCGAUUGGAUGUGCUGGUGAAGCGUUCGGAUUGGCGGCAUCUUGCGGCAACGCGGGGUGCCGCCGAGAAGUUCGUUAAACCCUCCCAUCUAGAGGAAGGAGAAGUCGUAACAAGGUUUCC